ACUGUAGUGUAACAGAGGUUUUUGUACCGCGGUUUCAUUAGAAUGUAUCACUGUGGUACACUUUUGGUGGCGGAACAAAACUCAUUAUGAAAACUGGACCAAUGGUGAAGCCCUCCGUGUCUCUGCUCCCUCCCUCCUCUCUGCAGCUCCCUGAGGAUUCUGCCUCUCUGCUCUGCCUGCUCUCUGACUAUUCUCCACAGGGGGCGCUGCCGAGCUGGACCGUGGAUGGUGUAGAGGUGAACGCAGGUGUUCUGACCAGCACAGAAGAUCAGAAGAACGGUGUCUACAGCCGCAGCAGCACCCUGACCCUCAGCAAAGAACGCUGGGAAGAGGCCGAGGUGUUCGGCUGUAUCGUCUCUCACCACGACACCACUCAGAUCACCUCGUUCCGAAAGAGUCGCUGUGAAGUCCACUAGAAUUCAAGUGUACACUUUAACACAUGCUUAGCAGUCUGAGGUGGUGUCAGUGGUAUAGCUGUGCUGAAAUAAAGCUUCAAUCUGGAAAUCAUGUCUCCUUUUUCAGUAGUGAAGUGUCUUUGUUAGUGAUUUGGAACUGCACCUUUACAGCAGGUCGAGUGCAGAGCUGUGUGUUGUGCUUGAGUGAGUUUGGAUGAAGAACCAGAAACAUCUGCUGAAAGUGUUUAACUGUUCUGGGAAUCAGAGCUUUUCAUGCAAAUGUGUGUGUGUGUGUG